rnacentral:lncRNA from 1 species
AAUCAGAGGUGCAGCUGCCAGCCUAUACCAGAGCUACAGCAACACUGGAUCCAAGCUGCAUCUGCAAACUACACCACAGCUCACUGGCAACACUUGAUCCUUAAGCCGCUGAGUGAGAGGCUAGAAAUGGAACUCAAAUCCUAAUGGAUACUAGUGUUGGAUUCUUAAACUGCUGAGCCACAACGGGAAUUCCUGUCACUUCUUUUUUUUGUUGUUUUUUUUGUUUGUUUGUUUGUUUUUGUCUUUUUAAGGCUGCACUCAAGGCGUAUGGAGGUUCUCAGGCUAGGGGUGGAAUGGGAGCUGUAGCUGCUGGCCUAUGCCACAGCCACAGCAACGGCCCCAUCUGUGACCUACACCACAGCUCACGGCAACACCGGAUCCUUGACCCACCAAGCACAGCUAGGAGUUAAACCCUAGUCCUCAUGGAUACUAGUUGGGUUUGUUCCCACUGAGCCACAACAGGAACUCCAGUUUCUCUUUUCUAUGUGAAACACUGACUGACACAAUCCAAACAGUCUAAAAUUUUUUGUAAUAAAGUACUAGUAGAGAAUUCCCAUCUGUGCCUAUUUAUGGUAAUAUGAGAAUAAUCUUUUCCAAUAUAUCUGCCUACAUUUUAUCUAUCUGCUUAUGUACCUAUCACCUACAUAUCCAUAAAAAUGUUUUUGCAAAAUGGAACUAUGCUGCACAUGCUGGCCUGCAACUUGUAUUUUUCCCCUGAACCAUUUUCCUGAAUGAUAGAUGUGGAUAUAUCUCAGUAUUUUUUAAUAGCUACCCAGUGUUCUGUAGUAUGGUGGCAGCAUAUUAUUCAACCAAUUCAAAAAUUCCCUAUUGAUGAGCAUGUGCGUUUUUACAAAUGUUUGCUCUGAGAACUCUGUAAUGCAUAUAUCUUUUUACACAUUUUCUUAGGAGCUUUGAUUUUAUUCAUGUAGGAUAGAUUUCUAUGAGCAGAAUUACUGGGUGAAAGAAUACGAGCAUUUCAAAAUGUUAAUAGAUACUGUCAAAUUAAAUUCCAAUAAACUUCUACAAAUUUAUACUCCCAGCACAAAUGCGUGAAACUGCUUAUAUUUCCAUAACCUGCUAAUAACUGGACAUUAAUGACUUUUUUCCCAAUCUAAUCAUAUUUAAAAACUAGCAUUCUGGAGUUCCCGUCGUGGCACAGUGGUUAACGAAUCUGAUUAGGAACCAUGAGGUUGCAGGUUUGAUCUCUGGCCUUGCUCAGUGGGUUAAGGAUCCAGCGUUGCCCUGAGCUGUGGUGUAGGUCACAGACACAGCUUGGAUCCUGCAUUGCUGUGGCUCUGGCAUAGGCCAGCAGCUACAGCUUCAAUUAGACCCCUAGCCUGAGAACCUCCAUAUGCCACAGGAACUGCCCUAGAAAAGGCAAAAAACAAAAACAAAAAACUAGCAUACUAUCAUUGUCUUUAAAUUGCAUGUCUUGGAUUGCAUGUCAUUUCAGAUUUUUACUGGCCAUCUGCAGUUUCUGUGCUGUGAUCAUCCUUUCACAUGUACCCUUUGCCCAUUGAAUUAAUUUUUUAAAUCUCUUCAUAAGCGCUAUUACCCCUUUGUCACACACAUGCACAGAAAGAGGGAAGAGAUUAUUCUCCCAGUUUGUUGUUUGAUAUUUGUUGUUAUUUAUAUUGACUUUUGCUAUAGCAAGUUUUUUAUAUAGUCAUGCCUUUCCUUUGUUGCUGAGAAAAGUCUCCAUGACCUUGAUAUUUUACAAAUGGUUUCCUAAAUUUUUAAAUCCUUUUUGGUGUUUUGUUGUUUAUAUAGAAAGAUUUAACCCACCAAAUUUUUAAUUUUAUGUAUUGUUCAAAAUUAAGAUUUAGUUUUGCUUUAGUUCAAAUGCAUAGAAAAUAGUGCCAACACCAAUUAUUGUCUAAGCCAUCUUCUCUGUUGAGAUUUGGUUUUACUCCACCUAUAAUUGGAUCUGUCUCUGAGUUCCUUUUUUUUUUUUUUCCACUGUGCAGCAUGGGGACCAUGUUACACAUACGUGUAUACAUUCUCUUCCUCCCAUUGUUCUGUUGCGAUGUGAGUAUCUAGACAUAGUUCUCAAUGCCACACUGUCUCUGAGUUCUUAUUUGUGUUUCCCUGGUCUAGUGUCCACUUCCUAUCCAGAUGCCAUAUUAAUUUGAUUCUAUUGCUUUAUAGAUAGUAAGCUCUGGAAUCUAUUAAAAAACAAGUUCCCUUUAAUUUUUUUUUUUUUGGAAAAAUUUCUCGCUGGGUGUAACAUAUUAUUCUUCAAGGUCAAUUUCUGAUUUAUUUUCUUUUAUUAAAAUAAGCUGGAAAUUUUAUUCAAAUUAAGUUACAUUUAUAUAUUAAUUUAAGAAUGACUGAUAUCCUUGGAAUGAUUGGGAUUUUAUAAUAUAUAGUCUCCCCAGCCAGGAAUAUGACAUCUUUCCAAUUUAUUCAUAUCUUAUCCUUCAAUAACACUCCUCUUUCCUUCAUAUAGAUCUUAUGACUUCCAUUAAAUUUCUUCCUUAAGAGAUUGACAGUUCUGCAGAAUAUGACAAACUAGCAUGAACUCAUAGCUCCCUCCCUUGAACUCUGGAGAAGCCACAAAGUGACAGGGAGUUUGCUGGAUCCUAAUAUGAAGGGAAUGAGAGAAAUGGUUGGGAAAAUGAGUGCUUGAGCCCCUGUGUGAAAGGAAAGAAGGUUCUGGCAAAAGGAAGCUAUGCCCUAUGACUGGGAAAGUGAUGGGAAGCAGUUUCCUAAUUGGGCCUUUUAGUCUCUUGCCCACACUGUCGUGGGAGGAUUGCUGCCCAUCCCUUCACUUUGGUUUGGUGAGAAGGCAGCAUCACCAGCACAGUUCUAGCUCCAGCCCUAAGUGGCAGACUCACAGUGGGGUGACUCUACCUGAGUGAAGAGUUGAUAACAAGAAGUGCACACAGAAAAAAAAAGGGGGGGGGUGGUUUCCUGCUGUGGCUCAGCAGUAAAGAACUCAACUAGUAUCCAUGAGGACUCGGGUUCAAUCCCUGGCCUUGCUCACUGUGUUAAGGAUCCAGCAUUGCUCUGAGCUGGGGUGUAGGUCACAGACAUGGCUCGGAUGCCCCGUUACUGUGGCUGUGGUGUAGGCUAGCAGCUACAGCUCCGAUUCUACCCCUAGCCUGGGAACUUCCGUAUGCCACAGGUGUGGGCCCUAAAAAGACCACUGAGCAUUCCCUCCCAUACCUUCCCUCUCUCCCUCACCCAGUGGAAGAAUCAGUCACAGUAGAGGAAGACAGCCUCUGGAAAACAGGGCAGAGAUAUGAAGUGGGUAGGGGAUACUGAAGAACAAGAUCACUUGAUGGGUGGAAUGAAGUAAAUGGGAAUGGUUGAGACCAUAUUAAAAUAGUGGAAGCUCUCUACUCUGGGAUGUACCCCAUUCCCACUCUCAAACUCACCAACAGGAGAACAAGCCAGGGCAGAAGAUCUUAUCCCUGCAUCAAAGUACAUGUUACCUGUCAAGGUAGCUGAUAGUUCCAAAAGGCUGUGAUCUUGCACAGAAAAAUGUUAGCAUAAUAGGUCUGAGACUGUUAUACUCGGAAAGGCCUGCUUACAAGGCUGGACUUUCGCUUUUGCCAUAAGAAGACACAAGGGUAUUUUUUUGAAAACACACAUGCACGCAGAGCAAACACCAUACUUAAUCACAAAUCAUUGAAAACAUUCCCCUUGAGAUUAGGAAUAAGAAACUGACAGUGACAAUUACCAUUUUCACUCAAGUGAAAGUGCUACAUAGUAAAAUGAAACCAAAAAUAAAAUAUGAAUCCAUACUGAUAUGAAUAAAAGAAUGAAUUAAUGACGAGAAGAGAGAUUUUUUUCCUUUACAGUAGAAUAUCAUUAAUAAACUAGAAGGAAUGAUGGAAUUAGAAAAUCACCAUUUGACAAACUAUCACAGUAAUAAUUCAUCUAAGAAACAUUGAAGGAUGCUAAAACUAGUGAGUGAAAGUUUGAUGGGGAAUGGUAUAUUUACAUAGUCUGAAAGUAUUUUUUCACAACAUAUUUAUUCAUUGCGAAGAGGAAAACAGUAAUUUUAAAUGGAGAAAACCAAAUGAAACCACUUUAAUCAAAUGAUCAAGUAACAGGACAAAUCAAAAUGUGUUCCUCUUGUUGGAAUUCAGUGAGAAGUAUACAACCUCAAUUUUGUGAUAUUUCUGCCAAAAAUUUAUAACCUGACUCCAACCAUUAGAAAAUACCAGGUGUGAGACUUUCCUGGUGGUCUAGUGGUUAGGGUUCAGCACCUUCACCACUGUGGUCCGGGUUCAAUCCCUGAUCUGGGAUCUGAGAUCCCACAUCAAGCCACUGUGCACCCAGCCAAAAAGAAAAAAAGAAAAAAGAAAAUAUCAGGUAAACCCAAGUUGAGAAAUACUCUGGCCUAUAGCCUUCAAGUGUUAAGGUUAUGAAAGUUAAAAAAAAGGACAAGAAAGAAUAGGAAGUGCUGCAGUUAUUGAAGGAGACUAAAGAGACAAAGAAACAAAUGCAACCCCAUCCUCCACUGGACCAGUUCGCUAUUGUGAACAAAAAAAGAACAAAGAGAGUCAUUCAUCAUCCAGGUAUAUAAAGGGCUAAGUCGCAAUUCACUGUGGAUGCCCACAGACAGUGUGCCCUGAAGGCAAUUUAGGAUGGAAAAAAACAGGAUGAGGAUCUCUAUGCUUUGGAUAAACAGACCCUUAGAUAGUGAGAAGUACCUCUCAGGAAGAAUUUCAGGAGUUUCUGCUGUGGAGCAGUGGAAAUGAAUCCAAUUAGUAUCCAUGACGGUGUGGGUUCAAUCCCUGGCCUCGAUCAGUGGGUCGGAGAUCUGGUGUAGCCGUGAGCUGUGGUAUAGGUCACAGACACAGCUCAGGUCUGGCGUUGCUGUGGCUGUGGUGUAGACCGGGAGCUGUAACUCCGAUUCGACCCCUAGCCUGGGAACUUCCAUAUGCUGCAGGGGUGGCUCUAAAAAG